rnacentral:rRNA from 1 species
AAUGAACGCUGGCGGCAUGCCUAACACAUGCAAGUCGAACGAAGGCUUCGGCCUUAGUGGCGCACGGGUGCGUAACGCGUGGGAAUCUGCCCACGGGGUCGGAAUAACAGUUAGAAUUGACUGCUAAUACCGGAUGAUGUCGUAAGACCAAAGAUUUAUCGCCCAAGGAUGAGCCCGCGUAGGAUUAGCUAGUUGGUGGGGUAAAGGCCUACCAAGGCGACGAUCAUUAGCUGGUCUGAGAGGAUGAUCAGCCACACUGAGACUGAGACGCGGCCCAGACUCCUACGGGAGGGAGCAGUGGGGAAUAGUGGACAAUGGGCGAAAGCCUGAUCCAGCAAGGCCGCUUAAGUGAUGAAGUCCUUAGGGUUGUAAAGCUCUUUUACCCGGGAUGAUAAUGACAGUACCGGGAGAAUAAGCUCCGGCUAACUUCGUG